UGGGGAUUAGUCUAGCGGUAGGACGCCUGACUCUGGAUCAGGUAGCCCUGGUUCGAAUCCAGGAUCCCCAGCCA
rnacentral:tRNA from 1 species